CAAUCCAAGCCGCCUCCUCCCUUAUUGCCAUCCACGAACGUGGUCUCUCCACAUCUCCUUCUCCUUCUUAAUGGUUUUCUCUUGGUGUAAAAGGAGAAGACAACACCCGUGAGUCACCACCAUAGUCUACCUUUUCUCAUCAUCGGGAAGCCACGUCCUCGCCACCAAAAUCAUUGCAAGCCACCACGGUCGAGACUUGGGCAAGUGAGGCCACAAUCUCAUUCUUUCUUGUGCACCAAGCUUCUUUCUCUCCGCCUUUGAGUUAUCGUUAUCAUCACCACCGGUUAUGGAGUUAAGUUGUGAGCCACCCGAGUCUAAGAUCCAUCAUUUCUACUCAAGCCGUGAAGGAAUUUAGGUGUGAAUUAUUUGGUAAAUAAUUCAGCUAAAGCCUAGACUGAGAGACAUAUUCGUUUGGGUAUUUCCGGAUCAAUAGUCGAUAUUGGCUAAGGUGAGACAUACGAGUAUAUGAUACAUGGACAGAUUGGUGCUACUGGACUUUUUAUUCGAAUUAUUAUUUGGGUUUUGGGUGAGUGGAUUUGUGCUUAUGGGCUAUUGUGUUAUGAGUUAUUGUUGUUGGCCCAUUUUUCUCGAGAUAGGAGGUGACGGGUGUUACACACAGA